CAGCUCUUUUUUGACAGGUACUUUACAUCUGUCAACCUUUUGGAUGCAUUGCUGAGAAGGGCAUAGCAGCAAGUGGGACAGUAAUGAGGUCCAGAAUCCCAAAAGAAUGUCGGAUGAUUGACAACAAAAUUCUGAACCAACGCGGAAGAGGAGCAACAGAGAUGACCAUUAGAACCCCUGGAAUUGCUGUCACAAAGUGGUAUGACAACAAGCCUGUGCUCAUGGCCUCCACAGCAUACGGGAUAGAGCCCCAGGAUUACUGUACAAGAUGGUCCAGUGAAGAGAAGAGGCACAUCCAGGUAGCACGACCCGCUGUCAUCAAUGAAUACAACAGCAGCAUGGGUGGAGUGGAUAUGUGCGACCGCAUGCUACAGGGUGGCAAGUAGGAGCAGGACAUGGACUGUGCAGGUUAUCAUCUUCAACUUCUUCGACUUGGCAAUAACCAACUCCUGGAUUCAGUACAAGUCAGACAGCAUUGCAUUGGAUCAUCCUGCCAAAAACACCAAACAAUACUUGGAAUUCAAGCUGCUGCUAGCUCAAGAGCUGAUUGCACAGGCACAGUCAUCCUCAGGGUGAUGUUGUAAUCACAGAUUCCAGUGAUGAUGAUUAUGAGCUACAGUGCAAAAAAUGGGUGCUGCAACCAGACCCAUUCAAUACCCAUACGGAGCUCUGCAUUUGCCAGAGAUGAUGCCCGACAAACAUGCAUCAAGAUGCCGAAGAAAAGUGACAGGAAAACCUACGUGAUGUGCACUAAAUGCAAAAUGUUCCUCUGUGUUGCCAAAAAGGGGAAUUGUUUCAAGGAAUACCACAUCCAAAACAAACCAGAAGUUAAAAUAAAUAUAAAGAUAAAUAUAAAGAUAAACACAUACUAGUUUACAUUAGAAUAGUCAAAAUAUGAUGUUAUUUCUCAUUGUGACUAAUUUAAUCGUUCAGAUGAAGAACCAUAUACGUGCACUCCAAGUAGUUUUGAGCUAUUCAAUCUUUUUUUUUUUAUGUAAAAUGCUAAAGACAAUGUCCUGAGAUGCAUUACAUGAAUCAUGAACCUUAUCCUUCUGUAGGCCUUCAUUUUUCCUAAUUAUUUUUUCAGUGGGAUUUAUUUAGGUUUUACAGACUUUUUAAAACAUGUAGUGCAGAAGAACAGUAUAUCUCCAGCUAUUUGAGAUUUUGUGGAAGAACAGUAUAUAUUACAUGACAAGGAAUAUUUAAUUAAAACGUUUAAUAUUUUUCCAAAAUACAAUUUGAAUUAAAUUCACUAGGACAACAUUACGUAUAGUUUUGCAAAAUAAUUUACAAUAAAAUAAAACAAAUCCACUGUCAAAUGUAAGAUGGGUCACCAUGAACAGUGUUAGUAAUUAGCUUGUAUUGCUUCUGUAAUUUUUUCGCGAUCGCUAUUGCAGGUAUCAUGGAAUAACUUUCCCUUAAAAAUAAAAAUAUUGGCAACCGUAAUCAAUGUCAUCAUCAAUUAAUUUAUAUAUACACGUAAUAAAAUAUGAAUGUCAAAAAAUAAAAUAAGCCUGUGCAGAGUAUAAUAGUUACAUUAUAACAAGGCAAAAAAAAAGAAACCUGUCUAUAAUCCGUCCUUGAAAUAAACACGCCUCAUGCUUGUGUCCGUUAUAUUAUAACAAGACAAAAAAAAAACCUGCCUAUAAUCCGUCCUUGCCUCAUGAAAUCUACCAAAUAAUAUAUUUUUUACAAUGUUCAAUGAAAGUAUUUUCUAAGAAAACAAACACAGGUUUUUCAGCAAAUAAGGACAUACACAUAUACGGUUUUUCCAUAAAACAAAACACAUACGUUUUGGAAAUUUUUUGCCUGUUUUCUUUUCUCCCUUUCUGUAACAUAUGACUUCCCUGCAUCCCUGAGAUGUUUUCGUUGUUUGUCUUUCCACUGAUUCAUAAUUCGUUUUUUUUUUUUUUUUUUACCAAUAUUGACUCUCUUUUCAUCAGCGACAAUUAACAAUUAGUAAAAUUAACGUGUCCAUCCGCCAUCUUCAUUCUUGCACAUAUACAUACGGUUAUUCCAGUACACAUGUAUUUUGUUGCUAUGUAGGAACCUGCAAUAGCGUCAGAAAACCACAAUAUGGCAUAUAUGGGUAAAGAGACUCCCUGGCCAUCAGAAUAUAUCCAUAAAUACAUUUCUUUAUAAAACUUGAGUUUUACGGUAUUUUGUCGCAAGGAUUCAGUUGUUAAGCUAGUCGCAUUUUUCAAAUUGAGAAACUUUUUUUUUUUUUUUGCUGGGUCUCAGGAGGCAGAAUCCUGUUUGGGAGAUCAGAAUUUUGAGUCUCUAUUAAUAUCUGGAAGAUGUAAUUGUGUGUUUUCUCCAGGGGCUGGUUGUACUAACUAGAUCAAAAACCAGCCGGAUCAUGAAAAGGCGUUGUAAUAAGCGGAUCAGGAUCAAGCUCCACUGAUCCGAAAUCUUGAUCCGAUCCUGGAGCUGCGCAGCCGUAACUAGGGAAACUGACCAAUGAGAAGCGAAUAUGCGUGGCGCAGAGACUGAAGAUUCUGAAUUUAUGUUGUUUAAAUUAAAUACACUUGAUUUUGUGACAUUCAUUAUUUCUUAUUUCUUGCUAAGAAAUAAGAAAUAAUGAAUGUCACAAAAUCAAGUGUAUUUAAUUUAAACAACAUAAAUCAGAAGCAACUACUGUACAUGUAUAAUUUAAAACUCCAUCGAUUCUAUAAAAACAGAUCGAGUAUAUGGUUUUGUUUUGUUUUUUUAACUUCUAAAAAUGUUUCAGUAAAUGUUACCGUAAUCACGGUCGUGUGUAUUUUCUGACGGACACACAGAUAUUUUACAGGUUUAUUAAGUUAUCGUUACAAUUAUUCAAAUUCGGUAUCGUGCUUAUUUAAAUAUUAUUUUAGCAAUUUUAAAAAAGGUUUCAGUUAUGUAUUUUGAUGAUGCAUGGUCCAUUUCAAAAACGUUCGAUCAAGCUCUGAUCAGAUUCUGAUCUUGGUCUAAAUUAACAAACACGCUUGAUCCGAUAGUUGGGUCGUAUUCUUACUUCUUCCUCGCCGAAAACCUCAAGAGGGUUUUGCCUAUCUUUAAAAACCCGACUUAUACGUGUCUGACAGUUUCGAAUAAAAAAUGAAUUACGUUUAGUAACUCAAUUUUUCAAAAGUGGGAUCAGGUUCUGAUCCUGCUCAAAAGCAAGAUCAGGUUUGCGCUCAGAUCUGAGCUCAGAUUGAGCACUGAUCCAUUUAGUACAACACAACUAGGACAACCGGCCCCUGAUUUUGCCACUCACCUUAAACAUCUUGAAUUUGUUUUUCAUAGACAAGCACAAAAUGGCCUUAAGCUCAAGCCUAACAAAUGUCAUCUCUUUCAGAAAACUGUACAGUACAUGUGGUUUCUGCAGAGGGAGUUACCCCCGUGCUUGACUGGCCAAUGACUGGCUUGACUGAGCUGUAGUCGACUGGCCAAUUCCAAAGACAGUGAGGGAGCUGCGAUCCUUUCUGGCUGGUACCCGGGUCGAGGGUUUUGUGGGGUAUCCGAAAGGACUUUGAGACGAUUGUACAAGGAGACAACUUUAAUAUGCGGUACACCAGCCCCUCGGUUCUAACGGGUGCCUGUGAGUUUUGGGGGACCAGCGGCUGAUGGAAAGGGGGUCCAUUUCGACCCUGGAUAAUCUGAGAGACUGUCUCUGGGUUCAUGGAGGAGCGUGAGUGAACAUUUGUCACGGUCUUGGCCGUGGGAGCCCAAAUGAUUAUUGUGCUGCAAACUCGUCAUUCUAUUUACAUUUAUUGAGUAUAUUAUAUGAUUGCUUAUUGUGUUGCUAAAUAGUCGUUCUGGUUACAUAUAUUAAGUAUACUAUAUGAUUGAUUACUGUGCUGCUAACUAGCCAUUUGUUUGCCUAUAUUAGGUGUAUUAUAUGACAGAUUAAUGUGCUACUAACUAGUCAUGUGUUUACAAGCACUAUACUUGCCUUUAACUGAUGGCUUGAAUUAUGUGAUACAUGUGAUUCAUAGAAAGAAUUAAUUGUGCUAACAUAGUAUACUAUCCUCAUAAGUAUUUAACCAUUAAAGAUUUCUGUGUGUCAUUUUCUCCUUAGCUAUUUAUCCAAUUGUAAGAUAUAUGUGUGUAAAUAAUGAUGUAAUAAAGAAAUCUGAGUUUCUUA